rnacentral:Y_RNA from 1 species
GACUGGCCCAAAGGUAGUGAGUUAUCUCAAUUGGUCGUUCACAGUCAGUUUGAAUUCCUUGUUCUACUCUUUCCCUCUCCUCCCACUACUGCACUUGACUAGUAUUUG